rnacentral:tRNA from 1 species
GGGAGUGAAUAGGCGCCUGGUGGGCCUCACGGUCUUCAAAACCGCUGCGGGGUCUUCAUCGAUCCUGGUUGAGUUCGAUUCUCACUCGCUCCCGCCA